UUGGAAUCUUCCCAUCUCAAAACGAAGGGAACUGAGGCCUCAGAUAUGGAAUCUGCUGAAGAUGGGAGUAGAUGAGAAUCUGGCCACUAGCGUCAACAAGCUGCUCUUUCCGUGCUCUCUGCUCCACCGCCAGGAGGGCUCACCAGCACAGGAUGAAGGUAAACAGAGUCAGAAUGACCUCAUAGGCUUCCGGCUGGAGGCCCGGCUGCACCAGGCUCUGUCCACCCAGCACCAGGACGAGCGUUGGAAGACUCAGCCUCCCAGUUUGGAGAAGAUCCAUUUCCUCCUGAGCGUGGAGCAUCCCCUCCCUGGAGACAGCUGGAGCGGAGCUGAAGCCCCCGCACUCCUUCCGGCAGAUUCUGGGGAGCCAGACGCUCUAUGCUGUGCGACAGGCCUUCAGAUCGGCCCGCACGCUCAGGAAGUGUGCCCGCAGUUGGGACGAUUCUGCAGUUUGCGAUGCAAGCCUCUGAUUCCUCAGAGAGGAAUGGGCAACCGUCAUUGGGGUCACGAUGGGCCCCCCCCAUCAACUCUGGUCAUCAGAAUCAUAGCCCCAGUAGGUGGGUGGUGCCACCCAACCCAGAUAUGUGUCCUGGACGUUCCCUGGCAGGCAGGGCUGUUUACCACGGAACAUCCCAAAGAUGACAAGAGGGUGAGUCAAGAAUGAUCGGGCCGUCUGUGGCAUAAAGAUGGGCCACAGUUCACUGCACGGUCAACAUAAGCAUCUUCAUGAUCAGCAGUGGACACGCUAAAGGACGUUUCGAUUUUCAUUUCAUUUCAUUCGUUUCAAGAUUUGUCCUCUUCAGCCAGGGCCGGCUUCUCAGCCCGGCCCUGCUGACCUUUGGGCCAGACAUUCUCUGGCGGGGCCGUCCUGUUCACUGCAGGGUGUUGAGCAACCUCCCUGGCCUCCACCUUCUAGAUGCAAAUAGCACCCCCACCCCCCCAAGUUGUCACAACCAAAUAUGUCUCCAGACAUUGCCUAAUGUCUCCUGGGGGGCAAAACCGCCUUCGUUGAUAAUCCCUGACUUAGGGAAACUAAUAAAAAUAUUUGGCCUCGAGAAAAGCA
rnacentral:lncRNA from 1 species